rnacentral:tmRNA from 1 species
GGGGGUGUAAAGGUUUCGACGGGGAAGUGAAAAUCUGGGUUGCACCGGGUCGGGGCAGGUGGCCGACCUUAAUAAACCUGCACCGGCAUUAAUUGCCGACAAUUAUAACACUCCUGUAGCUCUCGCAGCUUAACAGGCGUCCCCGACCCAGAUGCCGGUGGUAAGAAGGGGGCGUCAUUCACUACCGGAUAGGGAGGCGCAACGCCCGUAGCGCACCCCGAAAUUUACGGGACCGCCAGUACAAUGCCUUGUCCUUUGCGCAUAGUGCCGGUUAAAUCGAGCAACGGACUAACGGUGUAGUAGCUCAGAUGGUAGGUUCUUCGGACCCGGGUUCGACUCCCGGCACCUCCACCA